AAGCAGUGGGUGUCCCUCUCAGCUAUGCGGGGCAGAAGCAAAAGACAAGAUGAAUGAGCUGCUCUGUGUGUUUGCAUGACAGAAUAUUUUGCAGCCUCCCUGGAUAAACAAGCUGUCAUCCACCACCCAACCCUCUGUCAACUGAAGCAGCUUGGGGAAAAGAUAAUGCUGCGGGUUUGGACUCUCUCCUAGGCUGCCAGUGCCCUAAUUACUACACAAGCAAAACAAGCCCACAGAGUUGUAGGCAGAGAGGGGCUUGCUGGCCGACUAGGGAGGAGUGUCACUUUCCCAGUCCCAGGGAGGGGUGGAAGACAAGCACUAAUGUUUAUUGAGCACCUACUGUGUGCCAGACACUUGGCACAUGUCAUCUUAUUUAAUACAGUUCAAGUAUCAUCCCCAUUUUGCAGAUGAGGAAACAGAGGCUCAGAGAGGCCUGAUAAUGCACUCAGUUAAAGGACUCACUCCAAGGUCUUCCCAUUGCACUUCACUGCCUCCCUGGAAAAUGUCCAGGUUUGGUUUCCUCUCUUCUUUCCCAAUCCUGCAGAAUCAAAUCCAAAGGCGUGUUCAUGACUUUGCAGCUCUAUUGACUCUUUUUGUUUCUUUCUAAGACGUCUAUUUGUAAGAAAUAAAAUUGUUGGGCUCAGCAGCAGGACAAUAACUAUAAAGAAAUCUGCCAUUAGCAGCACAGACUUUAGCUCCCAGCAUUACUGUAUAUUCAAAGUAGAUUCCCAAAACAUCAUUUGACACAAACAGUCAUUCCAAAAGGACUCCAUUUGCCUCCUUCCUCCUGCCCCGCCUCAGGCACGCCUGACCAAGGUCGAAUGAAGAAGAGGAAAGGAGGUGAGAGAAGACUCCAAGCAGCCAGGGGCAGCUGAGAAGGAACUAGGCUGCCCUGCUAGGAGAUGGCAGCAGUCCCCUGAUUCAGGGGACAGAUAAGCUGAUUCUUCCCACCCCAUCCCCUUCCUGACCUGAUAGAUGGGGAAACUGAGUUUCAGAGAGGAGCAGCGACUGGCCAGUGAUGGGAUUAGAUCCCAAACCCUUUGACUCCCAGCCCACAGUGAUCUUCCAACACAACAUGCAGCUUCGUCAGAGGCCAAGAAAUCCAUUUAUAAGGAAAUUUUGUAUGUGCAUUUCAUUUGUAUGAUUUAAUUUUUUUACCUCAAAAAGAAUUAUAAUAUAUAGCUUUCAAUGCAAAUGGGAAAAGCUUACACAUCUUCAUAUAAAGAGAAGGAAUAUCCAAAAAGUAACAAGAAUGUUCCUAGUGCUGUCUUUCAUAGUAAAUUUGCAUGAUUGUACACCACACUCCAGCCACAAUGAUCUUUUUCUUAGUUCCUCAAAGCCCCCAGCCUUGUUCCUACCUGAGGACCUUUUCAUUUGAUAUUCCCUCUGCCCAGAACUCAUUUCCCUAGGCUUACAUGGCUGGAUUUCUCUUGUCACUGAGAUCUCAACUCAAAUGUCACCCCCUCUCAACAGUCUUCCCUGACCACCCUCCUUCAGGUAACCAUGCUGUCAAUCCCCAUAACAAUGGGUGUCAACCCUGGGCACGGUCACUUCCACCUGCAUGGCUUAAAAUACAGAUUGCUGAGCUCCGUCCCCCACAGUUUCUAAUUUAAUAGGCCUGGGGUGAGUCCUGAGAAUUUACAUUUCUAACAUGAUCCAAGAUUGUGCUGAUGAUAUUGGUCCAGGAAUCACUUUGAGAGCCACCGCCCUACAACAUCACCCUGUUUUAUUGUCUUCGUGGUGUUUAUCACAAUCUGAAAUUAUCUUAGGCAUCUAUUCAGUUUCUUUAUUAUGGCUUGCCUUUUUUACUGAUUAGGAGCUCCUGAGAGAAGGGUGACUGUCUGUCUUGUUUAUUGCAGUAUCUCCAGGACUCAGAAGAGAACCAGCACAUACGCACCAAUGUACCAGGUGGAGAAUAACUACUCUCUGUCCCAGGCCCCCAGGGGCAGGACAGAAAUUGCUGAUAUAGCUGCAACCUCAGUGAUCUUGCCUGCCUUAUGAAUUUCACUCCUACUAUCAAUUGUUUAAAUAGUGAGCAAGAAAAAUGACUCUCGAAGUAAAACAAUUUGGCAAAAGCAACUCAUGGUCUUUAGCUAUCUCCGAAGAAGCAGAGUCAACCCCUGCACCACUGAGAUGCAUCACAGUAGGGGUUCCCGGAGGACGCAAAAUGCAACUCUUAUCUACAAUUUGGGACCCUUAUUUCUGCCUGAAGUUCUUUCUAUUCAUCUCAAGGAGCAUCACAACAUUCAUGUAACUGUGAUUAAUCAAGUAUAUGUGGAAGUAAAUCUACCCAGCUCCCCAGCUCUGUGUUUCUCUUGCCCUGAGAGAGAGCCUACCAUCUUCCUCAAUGAACUCAGAGUAUAGUCCAUCAUCCAACAGACAGCCUUCCACUAAGGAUACCCAGGGGUUCCCAAGGCAUUCUGUACAACACUUCUCUCUAGUGGUCAGAGUAGGCUAACUGAUAUGAUAGACAACACCCAAAGUCUCAGUGGCAUAACACAAGGAAGUUUGUUUCUCAUAUCACAGUACAACACAGGUCGGUUGGGGAAGUGGACAUUUCUACUCCAUACAGUCAUUCAGGGACCCAAGCCCUUUCCAUCUUGUGGUUCCACCCUCCCCUAAAUACUUGAAGUUCUCUCCAUUUUGACAUCAGAUGAUGAAAGAGAUAGAAUGUUGAGAAUUGCAUGGGUGAUUUUUAUGGUCCACAUUGGGAAUUGGUCUAAUUGCUUCUGCCCACAUUUCACAGGUCAGAACUCAGUCACACAAUCUCAUCUCAUUGCAAACAAGUCUGGGAAAUGUAGUCUAGCUGCAUGCCCAUGAGGAAAAGGAAUGGGGCUUGGUAAAUAAAGGAAUGCCACUGACCCCUAGCAGUGUGUGGUGGUGGUGGUGUCGGGUCCUGUCUCCUCUGGGAUGUGAGCUCUUCAAAAGCAGAAAUUGAUUUUAUUUUUGACUCUCUGACUGAUGAACACCAGUCUAUGAACCCAGGCUGAACGGUCCAGAAGGUAUCAUCUCAGAGGUGGAGCUGAAGUCACAGCUGACCACACUGCCCAACUAGCUGCCAGGCACCUGGCACACACAGGCAGAUUUUGACAAAGGCCAUCAGCUGGGAGCCUGACAACCACAGCAGACCCAGAGAGUUUCAGGCACAGAGGCAGGGAGAACCUAGAAGAACCCUAAGCCAAGAAAAUAGCUUUCUCCCAGAGCACAGAGAUUUCUGGGAAGGGCACCAACCCAGCUUGGACUUAGGGUUUAUAAAGGACUGCCUCACUCAUCAAUGUGUUAAUUCUCAUCACAAAAGAGAUCAGGCCUUAACAUACCUACUUUACAGAUGUGGGAAUAGAGGAGCUUUCCCCAAGUCUAACAGCACUAGAACCGAAGUCUCCUAGCUAAGGAACUGCAUGAACCUACCAGACUAUUCUCUAUGCUGAUCACCCAUGAGCAUUCAAGGAAACAUCCCUUAGGGACCUUUGGGAACCUGAGAAGCCCAUACCUCCUCUGGAAGUAUUCCGUGCUGUCUCUCGCUCUGUGUAACCAGGUGACCACGUACGCCUGGCAAUGAGUUACAUCACCCAGAUGUGUUUUGAGGAAUCUGUUUGUUUUCAAAAUUGACUUAAAUAAGGAAUGUUUAAACAUGUUUCUUGUUUUUAAUGCAGGUCCUUAUUUUAAGUCAUGUUUAAAAAUCAAAAAAUUUCACAUAAAAAUAUAAAGCUGUGGGCUUUUCUUUUAAAAAAAAAAAAAUCUCAGGAGGCCCAGCUACCCUGAGUCUGAUUCCCACAAGGCGACGCUCACCCAGAGCUGAGUAGGCGCUGUUCCCAGAGACAAGAUAUGUGUCCUCCAGGUCCCCACAACCCCCAC
rnacentral:lncRNA from 1 species